GAUGAACGCUGGCGGCGUGCUUAACACAUGCAAGUCGAGCGGGAAUGCGGAGGCGGAAUUUUUCGGAAGGAAGCCUUUGCGUUUUAGCGGCGGACGGGUGAGUAACGCGUGGAUAACCUGCCCCAUACCGGGGGAUAACAGUUAGAAAUGACUGCUAAUACCGCAUAAGCGCACAGAGCCGCAUGGCGCAGUGUGAAAAACUCCGGUGGUAUGGGAUGGAUCCGCGUCUGAUUAGCUAGUUGGCGGGGUAACGGCCCACCAAGGCAGCGAUCAGUAGCCGACCUGAGAGGGUGGCCGGCCACAUUGGGACUGAGACACGGCCCAA
rnacentral:rRNA from 1 species